CUACGUGCCAGCAGCCGCGGUAAUACGGAAGGUCCAGGCGUUAUCCGGAUUUAUUGGGUUUAAAGGGAGCGUAGGCUGGAGAUUAAGUGUGUUGUGAAAUGUAGACGCUCAACGUUUGAAUUGCAGCGCAUACUGGUUUCCUUGAGUACGCACAACGUUGGCGGAAUUCGUCGUGUAGCGGUGAAAUGCUUAGAUAUGACGAAGAACUCCGAUUGCGAAGGCAGCUGACGGGAGCGCAACUGACGCUUAAGCUCGAAGGUGCGGGUAUCAAACAGGAUUAGAUACCCUGGUAGUCCGCACAGUAAACGAUGGAUGCCCGCUGUUGGUACCUGGUAUCAGCGGCUAAGCGAAAGCAUUAAGCAUCCCACCUGGGGAGUACGCCGGCAACGGUGAAACUCAAAGGAAUUGACGGGGGCCCGCACAAGCGGAGGAACAUGUGGUUUAAUUCGAUGAUACGCGAGGAACCUUACCCGGGCUUGAAUUGCAGAGGAAGGAUUUAGAGAUA
rnacentral:rRNA from 1 species